AAAAUGACCAUUUUGCCAGUGACCCCAGUUCUGUUUGAGUGUAACCACACACUGCUGGGGAUUGAGGCUGUUGUUGGAACUGUCCCAGGUUUUACUUCCUCACUGCAAUUUCCUGGCAGCCCUGCUCCAAGGCUAGCUGAAAUCUUUACUCUUGCCAGAGCCAUUCUCAAUAAAAAUUUGCUGAAGAAAUGCUUGCCACCUGAAUGAAUGAUCAGAAGCUGGAAAAAUCAGUUUUAAAGAGGAGCUUAGGAACAAGCAGGACAAAUGGAAACACUGCCAUCAAUUUAUGAAGACUUUCCAACAAAACUGCCAGAGCCUUCAGGCUUCUCUGAUAGGACAACGACGUGGCCAAGAAGUGGAAAGAUCCCUGGACAUUGGGAUCUAGACACAGAUGUGACACUACAGUGAGUGUGCCAUGAGGUCUGGGAGAAAUCACCUAAUUGCUCAGGCCUCAGUUUCCUCCAUAGAGUAUGCACUGGGCCCCUACUAUAUUCCAGGAAAUGUUCAAGGCACAGUGGACACACUGUUGUGUAAGACAAAAAAGGUCCUUUAUCAGGUGAUAAGUGCCAAAGAGAAUUCAAGUAGGUGAUGGGAUGGAGAGUGCCUCAGGGUGAUACUCACGAAGGAGCCAUCCAUGCAAACUGUCAGGAGGAGCACUGUAGGAAGAGGGAAUAAAUAGCUGGCGCAAAGAUUUAGACUGCUCCCUUGUGGCUUGCAUUCAUUCCUGCUUAUUUUGUCUUAAGAUUGUUAUGACAACCAUACUCUAUGCAUCGGGAAAUAAUCUGUGGCUUCAUAUAGAAAUACAUUCAUCCCUCAAUGGAUGAGUAUAACUAGUCCAAAAUUUUUGCUCAUAAGCCUGGACUGGUAUUGUCAAUCAAUCAUUAAUUAUUGUUAAAGGAGUAAUUUCAUAAAGAAAUUUAGAAUAAAGUGCUUUGUAUUGCCACAUAUCAAUGCUCAGACAUGUCUCUACUAGAAAGAAUGAGAAGCCAUUAAAUGAUUGCCUGUUUAGGUGGAAUCACUGUGCACAUGCAGGAACGUUGCAAUAGUGGCUCAGAUACAGCCAGUAGCUCCUCUAAGGGUGAGGUGAUUUUCUGAAAUAGUAAACAUUUCUAGACAAAUUUUGAAACAAAACAAAGCACAUCCUUUUCUACAUUGACACAGUCAUUGCAUUCCUGGAAAAUUCCGUGUAAGUACUUUGUAUUUAAUAUAUAAUAUUGCAUAAUGAUCCAGGCUCAGAUAAUAAUUGACAGGCAAAAUGAAGGACCUUCUCACUAUAGUGGGAUAUCUAGCAUUCCUGACUCUGCCUGCUAGAUACCUGUUGCAGUCCCUCUUUCCAACCAUAUCAACAAUAAAAAUUUCUCCCAUGAAGUUCCAAGCACUCCUCGGGAAUGUGAACCACUGAGCCAUUGGAAGGAGUUUGGAUUUAUUCAAAGUACUAUGGGAAUCCGCUGAAAGAUUUUAUUCUGGGAAGUAACAUAAACUGAUUUGCAUUUUUCAGAGUGCUCUGGAUAUCUUGUGAAGAAGUGGUAGCAGGGGCAAGAGUGGUGGCAGGGUGACUUUGGCAACAGAUAACUAGCCUCAGGCAAGGCAGCAGGGAAGGAGCAGAGAUGGAAAGAAAUUCAUAGACUAUGGAUGUUUUCAGGGUGAAGGCAAUAGGUUUUACUGAUGGUAUUGAUGUAAGAUGAGAAAAGAUUUUUGGCUUUAGCAACUGAGUGAAUGAUACAUACCUUUGUGGAACCUGGGAGAAAUCUGUGGCUUUUGUCUUCUUAAUGUUUUUAAAUUUAAUGUGGUCUGAACUCAUGAUCCCCGUGCCACUCCCAAGUUUGAGAUGACAGCCGUGUGGAGAUGUCAAGUUAGAUAUAUGAGUUCCUGUGAGAUGCUCUGGUUGGAGACACAUCUGGGAGUCAAUGGUACACAGAAGGCAUCCAAAGCCCUGGGACUGGAGACGUGAGGUCACCUUGGGAGAGUGGGUGGAUGGAGGAGAGAAAGGCAGCCAGGAUAGAGCCUUGGGGACCUUCAGCACUAUUAAAUGAGGCACUCUCUUCUAUUAAUUACUCCAUUAAGAGAAAGACUGAGGUUUUUUAACAUUAAUUGUAAUGGGAAUACUCAAUGAUUGAUGACACCAGUUUUGGCUUAUGAACAGAAAUUUUGAAACGAAUUAUACUCAUUUAUCAAAGCAUGAGGAUGGACUUCUUCAUGAAUUUCAAAUUAUUUCCCAAUGCAUAGAGAAUGGAUAUCAUAAUAAUCUUACGAUACCAAAGUAGUAAUUAGUGUUUGGAUUAAGAGCAGGCUAUAUAAGGGAGGUCUUGGACUUACGUUCUCAUGAAAAAUUACAGAUAAAGUCCAUUAAUCAGUAUUUAUUGGUCACCCACAGAAUAGGCCGUGACAUUUUUCAGUUUAAAAAUUACUUUCACAUUUUCUAAGGGAAUUUGAUAGAUUCAAUUUUCUAAAUUAAAAAAAUGUAAGAGCCUUAUUGAGGUAUAACUCUUAUACCAUACAAUUUUCAUCUUUAAUUUGAAGUGGUUACAGUGCACUUUCAAAUAGACAUAUAUAAGUUAGAAACUAAAUUACCCUGCCAGGUUAACAAAACAUAAAACAGCAAUUACUGUUUAUUGGGCAUCAACUUAGGUGACAGGUAUGAUAAGCAGCAUUUAAUUGAUCCUAAUCCUCCCAGCAUCCCUGAAGAAUAUAUCUUCCAUUUUACAGAGCGAACAUCCCACCUCAAAGGAUCUGGAGAACUGGCCAGAGAUCACCCCAGAAGAGAGUACAGGAGCCAGGAUUUGUAUGCAGGUCGCUGGAACUCAAAUCCUUUCUCUUUCCCUUACUUCAUCCUCCCCUUCAUCUCCUGAAAAGUGGAAGCUGGAGUCUGGAAUAUACACAGAAAACCCUCCACCCAUUUUAAGGAUACACCAAGAUCAAAACGCAUUGAUAUUGGAAUCUUACUAGUUUGAACUUUAAAGCAUUUUACUGCCAUAUAGGGAUUGGCUUCAAAGAAAUGUUUUAGUGGUGUUACGUUUAAUGCCUUGUGUUUAUGUAGAAUUACAUAUCCUAUAAAUGUUA